CCCAAAUAACCGGCGAAAUAAUCUAUAGGGAAUGUAUGAAAUCAUAAGCUUAAGCACAAAAAAAAAAAACCCAAUAUUGAGCCAUAAACAACGCGAUUGAGAUGAAAAAAUUGUCGAUUUAGUUGAAGAGUUCAAGAAAACGAAGCUGAAUCUUCGAGAUCCAUGAAUCCAAAUUUCAUUUAUGGGUGGAUUUUCGAAUUUCUAUACACUGAUCGUUCGCGAUUUAUCCAGCAGAAUGAAUAUACGUUUGUUCCUCUCUCACUUUCCAUCGUUUGUUCAUCCUUGUCCUCUUCUCGAAAUGGAAAAUCGGAACCGAAGCAAGUAAAACUCUGGGAACGCUCCAGACCGAUUCCUCCUGGAGGCAUCGAUCCUGCCAAAGAACAUUGCAGGUUCAAUCUAAGCUUCGUUGUUUGUGAAGAUUACGAUAUGGAUUUGGCGGGAAGAGGCGGUUCUUUGCAUUUUAUGGCUUUGAUUCUUGUUCCUUUUUGUUUGUUGAGGUUAUUGGUAAGAGACUAGGUUUACGCAAACCAAUUUCCUGCUAAUAGAAUAUGUCUGAGAAAGAUAAUUAUCCCAAAUUCGACAUGAAUCAAAGUAGGAAGAAACAUCAAAGGCCUCUCCAUGAUGAGCUUGUAAUCCUGCAAAAGCAAACUGAACAAACCAAUGGAUGGACCGAGAUAGAACCAACUAACAAACCACAAAAGCUAUUCAUUCUUAUUUCUUCACAAUCUUCAUUUGAAUAUGGUGCGGGAUUUUUGUAUGUAAUUGUCUCUAAAACAGUCAUUUGUUUGUCAUUGUUUCAUUUCAUUACUCUGUUCUUAGUUGAUCUUGUUGCAUACAUUUGUUAUUAGUAGCUUUCUCUUGUAUAAGAAUACCUUGUAUUUAAUUCAUAUAUACAAAGGAAAUAUGAUACUCUUUUCCUCAUAAAAAUCAUUUAACAACAUUGAAAUUGGUCUCUCAAAACUAUUGCCAGCGGUUAACUUGGGCCAACCAAGAAUGUAUGCCGAACAGUCCAAGAUUCACAACUUAGUCGAUAGCUUAAGGCAAAGGGUGGGUGCAUUCUUGGCCACAAAUUAGUCUGGCAUGGUUCCACUGUAUCCACAAGGCCUAGAAAGAGUUACUAAAUCAUCCUUUCCAUUUGCCAUACCCUCCUUCGUCCGUUAGGUUUACGAAAUCAUGCUUUCAGACACAUCAUUAACGAUUAACUUGUUUUUUUUCAUGUGUUACUAUAAAUCUGCUCAGGCACAAGCAGAGUACUGUUUUACUUGUGUUCUUCUUACUCUCAGGGAAAGGUCCUUCACAGCCUGCUCCAAAAUUAAUUGGGACAUCAUAGCAUUUUGUCUGAACUUGAGCCGAUAAGCAUGAGCCUACAUAUGCUAAAAAGAUGGUGGAUUUGUACAACCAGAAUGGUGAAAUUGAUCGUAUGCUUUACAGAGAUAGAUGACAUUUGCACUUGUAUUACUGGCUCUUUUGAUUUUGGAGCCAUGAAAUAAUGUCACCGGACUUCAAGAUUCUUGCUGUGAGCUUUGGUUCCACUACUUUUUUCUUGUUUCAUGCCCUGAAUCAUCCACCUUUUUCUAUGGGCUAUUUGGGCUGUUUAUUGAAUCCUUUCAACAUGAAGGGAUGGGCUUUUGAUGAAGAACUAGGAAAAUGUUAUGGGUAGUUACUACCCCAUGUGUUUUCUUCUCUAUGGUAGCUUGAUGUCUCUGUAAGAGGUUGCACGGUUUUAUGAGAACAUUGGAAGCUCUAGUGGGAUUUUGACAAAGACUGCAGAUAACAUGUUCAUGAAGGAUCAUGAUCAGUUCGAAUUACAAAUUGGUUCCUGAAAAGCUUUGAGUUUGUGGUGCUGAAGAACAUUUAAAUGGGCCAUGGAGUUAUAUCACUAUGUUUGGUUGAAUCAACAGCAUGGGAAGUCAUAUGGGUUGUCUUCUCCUUUAACGUUCCCCACUCGAGAAUUGUCGCGUCUUUGUUCUUAAGUCUUGAAACUGUUCUGACUCAUUAAGCUCUCUAGCACGCACAAAACAUCUUAUUUGCAAUGUAGAACCUUAUGUUGAAGAAAUGUGAGUCUUUUGUUAUGGUUCAUUUCAUUGGCUGUGAAUUCUGAUUUGUGGCUUGUUUUUUGUGUCAGUUAAGAAAGAUGCAUAUGGACUUUGGGUUUCAAGCAGAGUAAAAAAGAGGGAGCAUUGCAUUUAUCAGGAAUUUAUUGAUUCUCUCCCAAUUGGUUGGACUAUAGGUGCAAUGAUUUACUUCACGGGCGAAAUAUCAAGGAAAUGAAUAGAAGAAGUGUUUUAUCCUAUUGGUAUGAUCUUUCCAUCACCGCUCUCGGCUUUGUCUUUUCUCUUGAUUAGGUAGUCCUCGAAAAUUCUUAUUCCUUUUUCACCGGAACUAAAUUACGGUGAUAUCAUAUUAAGUUCUAUACUCGUUCUCGUUUAGAAAACAAUAACCUUGAUAUGAUGUAUAUAUAAAUUCUACAUAUAUUCUCAUUCA